AUGGCGACCGGCGCACGGGUGAGUAACACGUAUCCAACCUGCCGAUAACUCGGGGAUAGCCUUUCGAAAGAAAGAUUAAUACCCGAUGGCAUAAUUAGACCGCAUGGUUUGAUUAUUAAAGAAUUUCGGUUAUCGAUAGGGAUGCGUUCCAUUAGGCAGUUGGUGAGGUAACGGCUCACCAAACCUUCGAUGGAUAGGGGUUCUGAGAGGAAGGUCCCCCACAUUGGAACUGAGACACGGUCCAA
rnacentral:rRNA from 1 species